GACGAACGCUGGCGGCGUGCUUAAUACAUGCAAGUCGAACGGAAAGGCCCGGCUCUUGUGGCGUGCUCGAGUGCCGCACGCGUGUGUAUCACGCGAGUAACCUCUCCUUGACAUUGGGGUAACUCCUGGAAACUGGGGCUAAAAUCCGAUAUGAGCUCCUGCAGCACGGUGUUGGUGGGAAAAAUACGGCGUUUGGGGAUGGAAUGGCGGCUUAUCAGCUUGUUGGUGGGGUAGUGGCUUACCAAGGCUUCGACGGGUAGCCGGCCUGCGAGGGUGACCGGCCACAUUGGGACUAAGGUAGGGACCAGACGGCUACGGGGGGCAGCGGUGGAAAGUAUUGCGCACUGGGCGGAGGCCUGAUACAGGGACGUCGGGUGCUGGAUGACGGCUUUCGGGGUAUAAACCGCUUUCGACUGUAACGAACAGUGAGUGACGGUAAUGAGUCAGAAAGCACCGGCUAACUACGUG
rnacentral:rRNA from 1 species